CCAUCUUCUAGCUGUUCCAGCAUAACUAACAAAGUCAGGACUGACCCACGCAAGCAUCGGGCUUACCGGUCUUACUUUCUAAGCAAAGCUGGUAGGUCUCAGGCUAGCGGGGUCCCCGCACUCCUCUCCUUCCCGAAGAACAAGGAAGCCUAAGGUGGAGGCCAUUUUAACAGGGAAGCUCUGCGCAGACUGUCUCUCUGAAACUCUAAUUGGUCUUGGAAAAUGCUCCCUGACCUUGGAUGCCUGAAGGAUCAUUGCCCAAUCAGGAGAUUGCAAGCCUAUUGCCAGGCCCAAGAAAACAGUGCCAGGUUGCUUCCCAGUCAGUGUUAAAAUAAAGAUAUACAUUGGGAGAUUGCACUUUGUAAGGGAGAAGAAGAAAGCGUCAGGAAGGCAAACACCUUAUCGGCUUCAGAAAUGCUCUCUCCUGGGAGACAUGAAGACAAAGGAGCAGGCACCGAGAACACCAGCUCUCAAACAAAACUGUGGCCAUGUCACAAAAAAAAGGUUCCCUGAAUGGCUCCCAGAGGACCCUCCUGCUCUUUGAGAUGGAGAAAGGGAGAGAAGUAGUCAACAUUAUCCCUCACAGCCAAUGAAGUGCCAACAAUGUACUGGAAAUCCUUGAUCCCACUCUUUGACAAACAAAAGGGCGUAAUGAAGAACAAGACUCAGAGGAAAGAAACCGGAAAGCUUAAAUAAAAGACUUUCUCCCUAGGAUAAAAGUUGACUCUUUACUACUGCCUCAGAGCCAAAGUUGACAAGGGAGGGUGGGAGCAAGAGUCCAUUGUGGUGAAUUUUAAAAUUUACCCACAAAUUCUUUGAUACACAUCUCCUCAAGAGGUGGAGCUUUUCCUUCCUCUAAGUGUGGACUGAAUUUAGUGACUCCCUUCUAGCAUAUAGAGUAUGGCAAAAAGUGAUGGGCUAGCACUUCUAAGAUUAGGUUAUAAAAGGCGCCUGGGUGGCUCGGUUGGUU